GGUGCUCGAGUGGCGAACGGGUGAGUAACACGUGAGUAACCUGCCCUUGACUUUGGGAUAACUUCAGGAAACUGGGGCUAAUACCGGAUAGGAGCUCCUGCUGCAUGGUGGGGGUUGGAAAGUUUCGGCGGUUGGGGAUGGACUCGCGGCUUACCAGCUUGUUGGUGGGGUAGUGGCUUACCAAGGCUUUGACGGGUAGCCGGCCUGAGAGGGUGACCGGCCACAUUGGGACUGAGAUACGGCCCAG
rnacentral:rRNA from 1 species